rnacentral:lncRNA from 13 species
GAUGUAUAGAACAAUCUUAAAAUUAUCUACUUUGGUUUAGAUACAAGCAUCAUGAAACCUCUAACACAAUAAAUGAAUGUGACUUGGUGAAAAUACGUUGUUGUUUUUUUUGCCACUUUGUUCACGUGGUUUCUUCCUUCACAGACUCCAUGUAGUGAUGACCUCGCCCUAAACAUUUUGUCCACGUGGUUUCUUCCUUCACAGACUCCAUGUAGUGAUGACCUCGCCCUAAACAUUUUGUCCACGUGGUUUCUUCCUUCACAGACUCCAUGUAGUGAUGACCUCGCCCUAAACAUUUUGUCCACGUGGUUUCUUCCUUCACAGACUCCAUGUAGUGAUGACCUCGCCCUAAACAUUUUGUCCACGUGGUUUCUUCCUUCACAGACUCCAUGUAGUGAUGACCUCGCCCUAAACAUUUUGUCCACGUGGUUUCUUCCUUCACAGACUCCAUGUAGUGAUGACCUCGCCCUAAACAUUUUGUCCACGUGGUUUCUUCCUUCACAGACUCCAUGUAGUGAUGACCUCGCCCUAAACAUUUUGUCCACGUGGUUUCUUCCUUCACAGACUCCAUGUAGUGAUGACCUCACCCUAAACAUUUUGUCCACGUGGUUUCUUCCUUCACAGACUCCAUGUAGUGAUGACCUCGUCCUAAACAUUUUGUCCACGUGGUUUCUUCCUUCACAGACUCCAUGUAGUGAUGACCUCGUCCUAAACAUUUUGUGUAUUGUUUCCUUAGAAAUCAAGGGUGGCUCAAAUUACCCCGCUGGCUCAACUUAACCCACUCUCCACUACAGGUAAACUGGAUCAGCUUUAGCCAACUGGUGAAUGCUAGAGCCUACAGGCUACUCACCAGUACCAAUAAGCUGCCAUGCUAGCAGGCCAAAAGGUCGGAUAGGAAUGGUCUAAAGACCAGUUAGUGGCAAAAGAUCAGUAUUGGACCCUAGAGGUGGUCCUCACAGGAUGUGACUGAAACAUUACUGACAGGGGCAGCAACUAGAGCAGAAAUAUGCAGUUCUCCAUGUAAACCACAAGAUGGCAGCAACUGAAUGCUGAUGAGACACCAUCCACCACCAUGCCUUCACACUACCACCAUCAACAGCUAUAGUGGCCCACCUCAAAACGAGCAUCAGAGUCAAUAUCACUGACAUCAGUAGAGCUUGUGACCAGAUACACUCACACACACACACGUGCACACACACACACACACACACUCAUACACACUCACGGACGGAUGGACACACACAGCAACAUACGGUACAGUACACAGUUGGAGCUCAGAACUUUGUGACACCACGUAUCCACCAGAGUCCCAAUGCUCUGAUGAAUCCGCCAAAUGUUAUCUCAUGUCAAGAAGCAGCGUGUUGAGCAUCGAAACGUCUGGUCAGCUUAGUUAAGAGUGUCUCAAUGCAUUUCUUCCCUGUUUUCUUACUCGUCCUGAAACUGCCCUUCACUCGGUACGGCGUCAGGUGACAGUCAUGCGUGUCAGCCAUCUUGGUUAGUGGCAGCUCCUCUGGGGCCCCAGAUGGGGCUGUAGCAUGCAUGCGCUGCUCGGCGAUGGCAGGAUAACAACUUCCCAUCAUCCAUUUGGUGUCGCGUGUGGGGAAAUGGGAUGUCGAGUGUGUUUGUCAUAUUAAUGGGGAACAUUGCGAUUGUGACAGACUGGAGCACUCCGCUGCCUCACUUACACACACACAGAGAGACAGACAGAGAGAGACAGAGAGAGAGAGAGAGAGAGAGAGAGAGNNNNNNNNNNCCUAAACAUUUUGUCCACGUGGUUUCUUCCUUCACAGACUCCAUGUAGUGAUGACCUCGUCCUAAACAUUUUGUGUAUUGUUUCCUUAGAAAUCAAGGGUGGCUCAAAUUACCCCGCUGGCUCAACUUAACCCACUCUCCACUACAGGUAAACUGGAUCAGCUUUAGCCAACUGGUGAAUGCUAGAGCCUACAGGCUACUCACCAGUACCAAUAAGCUGCCAUGCUAGCAGGCCAAAAGGUCGGAUAGGAAUGGUCUAAAGACCAG